CAGAUGAACACUGAUUUAUAAUCUUUUACUUACAGCUUAGAGCUUUGAGUCGUGCCCACUAAACAACAGUUCCAUUUUCUGUCAAGAAAAAGGCCCGUCUGUGACUGAAGCGUGCAAAAACUCCACUUCAUUUGUUGCACAAAAAUAAGAGACAAACCAGGACUGAUAAAAGGAGAUGAUAAGCUUCUCAUAGAUCAAACUAUUUGGAACCGGUUCUCACCCCUGAUGUUCAAAGCCUUUAGAUGACUUAAGCUAGUGGAACAUUUCCCCUUCCUGAAGUCAUAUUAGAAAAAUCAAACAUUAGAAAACCAAUGUUUCAGCUGCAUCAUGCAGGGCGGAAACUACUGAACUCCAAGCAGAGAGGUCGGGAAAGAACUCAAAACAUCAGACUCAGUGUAGAUAUUGUAGGUAGAAGAUAAAGUUUUCCACACAUCAACACCAUCCUUCACCGAUUAAGGAUAUAAAUACAGGUCGGUUUUAUCUAAUGAUCCUGAAAUGAUAAGUUGGGCUUGAAGAUUGCUCAUCAUGAGCGCAGCCUGCACACCCUCGAUGCUGAGACUCAUUCAGAGGAGCCGACGUCUCUUGGAUCAGAGGGAGGAUGAUGGAAAAACAGCAGAGCGGUGUGUGUGUGUGUUUGUGUGCAGAGAUAAAGGCACAGAUAGAGUGUGCGAGUGCGCUUAGAGUGAGGGAUAAAAGGGAUCAGUGGAGAAGGUGUCAUCUGUGUCUCUCCUAAGUUCAUUAUGUGCUCAGAGUCUUGAAGUGGGGGAGGAAGAGGAACACACUGACAUUUCCUCUGCUUUAAUUCAGGACUAAAAUCCUGCAGAACUUCGUGUGCGUGAAGCGAAGCUAUGACGGCUAAAGUCUUUUACUCUAAACUUUUUAGAUUCACAUGCAUGUGGCUUUUUUGAUGAAGCCACCAACAGGCCAACUUCCUCAGGAAGUUGCACACACUGCCUUUGCACAUUUUGACAUGGUGGAACAAAAUAAAAUGAGCUACUUCAGUAUUCUCCGUUCCUUUUAUAAUUAAAAUCCAAACAUUAGCUAUCGAAAUCCGUGUCCUGGUGAACCUCCGCUGAGGUCGGGAUGAAGCUCGGCCACAUCUUGAAACAGAUCCACCCUCAAACACAGCACACGCUCUCCUAUUGUCUGCAAGGGCCCGUUUAAUCCACCUCUCUUGUGUUCUUCAUCACGUUUUCAGCAUCUCCUCCACUCGCCUGCUCUCUUUUGUUCUUGGCCGCCAGUCAAUCCCGGCUUUAUCCGGGCUUCCGUGGCUCUUACCUAACACAGAACACGCGUCCUGCCGUCUGCAGCCUGGCUGCUGAUACGAGGCCGGUGGGGUGACAGACUGAGGAGGAGAUGUUGUUGAGAAUUGUUUAAAAUGUGACUGCAGUCACAAGAUGUUUGAUAUGUGAAACGAUCGUGGCUGAAAGAUGUAGAUGGACGAGUGAAAAACAGGUUAAAACAGAAAAGUCAACUUUAAGCCGAAGAUGUUUUGCAUUUCACUUUGUGUAACAGGCAGAGAGCUGACUAACACUGAGGGUGUGAGAACACAAAAACGUCUGCAAGCUCGCGUCUCAGCCAACAAAUAAAAAAAAAAGUCACUUUAAAUUGUUAUAGAAAUAAUUCAGCAGUCAAUGAGACGAUAAUGGAGCACGCGCUUCACCUGACGAGAGAACCUGCCCAGCAAACGAGUGGACACACCUGAUUUUCAGCUACAGGCACUGCAGGUGUGAUGGGUCGCCUUCCUGUGUUCGUGUUUGCAGCAGCAGCAGUCCUCCUCCACCGCCUUCUUCUCGACACCUUCACAAAACAAGCAGCUGCUCAGGAGGGGCCACAAAAACACCACCUCUCCGCUCCUCUUCGUCGCGUCUUCAGCCGGCUGUCCGCUCCGUCAAGCGCUCCUGCUGCUCAGGCGUGAAUCAGCGAGGAUGCAUCGACUCCACCUGGGAUCGGCCCAGUUUUAUUUUUCGCAGCAGUACUGGAAAAACAACCAAAGGCUUUCAGGGACUAAUCCUCAUUGAACAUCACACAUGUGGAAGUGCACAAAUGUUUAAAAAGGAUCAACAACUGUAAGUUAGACUCUGAGGAAGAAUGUCGAAAUGUUCACUGGUGCAAGAUCACUGAUCCCUAUAGUGUGUGUGUGUGUGUGCGCGUGUGUGUGUAUGGGGGGGGGAUGCAGAGUCUGGGUCUGUACCUGCAACAGGAGCAGAGGUGUGGCACCUCUCAUGUGUCAUUAAUGACUGUAGCAUGUAAACUAACAUGUAAGUCUGGUGCACAAAGUGUGUUCCUGUUUUUAUCAUUUCAUUGUUUAAGAGGAAGCUGAUUGGCCCCACUAUCACUGCAGACGUGUCAGCCACAGUGGGCCUUUGCACCGUAUUUCUGGCAGGGUGUUUUUAUCUGUAAGAACAAAUUACAUUCUAAGGAAAAAUGAAGUAACAGAAACAAGAGCUGUUCUCACAAACAUCCGAGCACAUCCCAAACAAGGCCAAACGUUUACCUGUACCUUGUCUCCCGUCCACCAAUGAGGUUCUGGUUUAAUUUCCUACCUUAUAAGGUCAGAGAUUUCCAGAAAGAGAGAAGGAGCAGCGCUCAGGGGCGGAAGGAGGCGGGGUGUAUUGUUGCGAGGUCUCGCUGUGGUGUAACUUUCGUUUCGAGCCUUGUCUUUACCCCCAAGCCCCAGUCCCGCUGCUGUUAAAGACCUGACACACAUCAAAGAUGAGCAGAAAUGUAGGAGCAGCAGGUCGCAGCAUGAACGAAACAGACGCGCACGCUGUCAGCAGUCUGAGGGGUGUGAGCGUGUAUUCAUAUUUUUGUGGGGACCAAAAAUUGGAAGUUUACUAUACUUGUGGGGACUAAAAGCCUGGUCCCCACAAGUUUGAAGGCAUUUUUGAGACUCAAAAUGUGGUUUUAGUGACUGGGUUACAAUUGGGUUAUCGUUAGGUUUAGGGUAAGGGUUAUUGUUAGGCAUUCAUUUUUCAUGGUUAGGGUAAGUGGCUAGGGAAAGCAUUAUGUCAAUUAGAUGUCCCCACAAGAUAUGAAUACCCGACUCGUGUGUGUGUGUGUGUGUGUGUGUGUGUGUGUGUGUGUGUGUGUGUGUGUGUGUGUGUGUGUGUGUGUGUGUGUGUGUGUCUUUAACUGGUUUAACCUGUAGGCAAUAAAAUUAAGCAUAAACACUUAAAGUUAAGAUUACUGUUAAUAGAUUUGUCCCACCUGGUGGAUGAAAGUAAUCCUUAAAUGUUUUACACAUAACCCUUCACUGUAAAUGCCUUCAUUAAAAUACCUCUGAA